GGGUUUGUAGCUCAGUGGAAUAGAGCUCGCGUUUCCGAAGCGCGGUGUCGAGGGUUCGAAUCCCUUCUUACCCA
rnacentral:tRNA from 1 species